rnacentral:misc_RNA from 1 species
GUGAAUCAUCAAAUCUUUGAACGCAAAUUGCGCUUCCUAGCAUCACGGGUAGUAUGCCUGUUUGAGGGACAGUAUUAACAAAAAAAUCGGUUUGGUUGCAAAUUGUGACGUUUCCGGAGUUUGGGCUAUCUUAACUUUUUUGGUUAAGGGGCUUAAAAUUGACCUUUUUUGCGCAUUUUUAGACGUACAUAAAUUUUUUUUAAUCGGUUUUUUAUUAAUGCAAAAUUCUGAUUAGA